rnacentral:rRNA from 1 species
UACAGAGGUCUCAAGCGUUGUUCGGAUUCAUUGGGCGUAAAGGGUGCGUAGGUGGCGUGGUAAGUCGGGUGUGAAAUUUCGGAGCUUAACUCCGAAACUGCAUUCGAUACUGCCGUGCUUGAGGACUGGAGAGGAGACUGGAAUUUACGGUGUAGCAGUGAAAUGCGUAGAGAUCGUAAGGAGGACCAGUGGCGAAGGCGAGUCUCUGGACAGCAACUGACGCUGAGGCACGAAGGCCAGGGGAGCAAACGGG